rnacentral:rRNA from 1 species
UACGAAGGGGGCUAGCGUUGUUCGGAAUUACUGGGCGUAAAGCGUGCGCAGGCGGCUUCUCAAGUCAGGGGUGAAAGCCCAGAGCUCAACUCUGGAAUUGCCUUUGAGACUGAGUGGCUUGAGUACGAGAGAGGUGAGUGGAAUUCCCAGUGUAGAGGUGAAAUUCGUAGAUAUUGGGAAGAACACCGGUGGCGAAGGCGGCUCACUGGCCCGAUACUGACGCUGAGGCGCGAAAGCGUGGGGAGCAAACAGG